GAUAGUGAAGCUAUUUUUAGGUGCUUAUCAUGGCUUAUGAUUAUCUCAUCUCUACAGCAUGUUGGAAUGGAUUUUUUGAAAGCCUUCAAAAUGAAACAUAUUUAGGCUUAUGAAUAAGAUUCUAAUGGGAAUAUUAAUGUUUCAGCUGUAGAAUAUGGAUAUAAAUAAUGAUUGGGAAUAGAGAUGUAAUUCUGCUGUGUCCCCGUGAGUUGGAAACCAGUAAGCAAGUCUUCUAAUAGAGGUCUGAUAGAGUCAUGUACAUCAAGCGAUCAGCACUAAAAGAUGUGGACCUGAUGUGGUGUCAAGCUGAUGAAGCUUUUGCUUUCUUCUUUUGGCUGUUCGUUUAACACAAGACAAAGCACAGACUGAUCGCCAUACCAUUUUAAGAUCCUGGGAUGUGAAAGACUUUGCACCAGACUGUCGUCAGUAUCUUUACCUCUUCCAUGCCGGCAAUAAAAUACAUCUGAAACUUGUUGAAUGUUGAGUCAGAUAUUGAAGCCAGAGCUUUGUAUCUAAGUCAAAGACCACUAGUAUUUGACAGUGUUUACAGAGGACAAGAUGUCCCAGCUCAGUCCAAAAUUCAUAAAGACUGUGUCUCAGCGAAGCAUAAGAGUUGGUCUUGGAUUCAAACAGUCAAUGAAUGUUUAGGCAUUCAUAGUGAAAAUACUGCUAACUAUCAUCAGCUCUACCAUGAUGUUUGCCACCUGGAAGAAGACAUGCUUUCAUUCUUGCUUUGGAUGGACAGUUCAACAGUCAGAGCUCAAGUCAAGACUCAAGAUCCUGAUGUCAUGUUAAAACAUUUCAGAUUAAUAAACAAUUGUUGGACUAUCAGGGCUAGUUAGAUCUUCUCACAGAGCGAAGUUGAGAUAUUCACCCAGUUCAUCACCGCCAAGAACUGCCAGAAUGGCAUUUGAAGGCUAGAGCUCUUGUCCAAUAUCAGCACAAACAUGUGUCAUUAGCAAAAGGGGACUUUGUCAAGAUUUUGGAAAAUUCUGAUGCUGAAAGAUGGAAGAUGGAAUAGAAAGUGAAGUCCCUGCUAUUGUGUUGGUCAUUCCUUCCUGCUUCCAACAGAUUGAUAAAUUAGGAGAACAAAUCAAGGUCAAUAGUUCUAUUGAUUGCUGCUGAUAAAUGGUCACAUUUAAUCCAGUUUUUAAGUGCUGCUAUUUCCCAGACACAGUCCAAAGAUUUAUGUUUUUCCUGCUGAAGAUGGUGAAUGAGGCAGCAGACAUCUUGAAAGGAGCUGAUUUCAAGUUCCUUCAACAGUCUUUUCAUUUUAUUUAGGAAGAAGCUCAUCAGUCACUUCAAACCAGGUGAUGAUGGAGUCAUAAACAGUAGGAUACAGAGGUGAAACAAAACUGGAGCUUUAGUUUGUUUGUUUGUAGAACUUGGCAUCUACUCCAGACAUUAUUCUGAAGAACACUCAAGUAAAAGAAAAGAAGAAAUGUUAAAGGUUAAGGACUUGGGCUCCAAUCAUACUUACACUUCAAAAGCUUUAAUUUGAAAGGUCUUAUAUUUUUGUGGAAAUAAAUUUUACUAGUGGAGUUUUUGUAGCUGCCAGAGUGGAUCAAGGUGGAUGUGAUAUCUAUUUAUAAACAUGUAUACCAGUAUAUUGUAAUCAGUGAUUUUCAUUUUUUGGUAACAGUUUGUUUCCAUUUAGAUUGCAGUCUUUCUUAUGUGAAAACAAGAUGUCUGCAUAAUCUUAGAGGACAUUUUUAAACUCAUUUAAAUUUAUUAGAUGAAAUAUUUAUAAAACAUACAAUGUAAAUUGUUUUGUAAAAUGAUUAUACAUUUGAGUUCAUAAAAAUGUGUAAUUUUUUAAUGGCAUCAUGUUUCUGCUUAUCUGUAUCUGAUACUGAUGAUGUGUUUUCUAAAUCUAUUACUGCUUCACCAUUGAGGAAAAACUGCACAUGUUUAAACCCAUAUCUGAAGUAACUUUACAGAAAAAAAAAAGAUGUAUGUUGGACAGUGUCCAAAAUUUCAAAUCAUUUCCUUCAAAAUGUUAUCAAUUUCCUCCAUAACUUCAUAACAUUAUUGAAUUUUUUCCUUCAGAACACAAUUGUAAAUUAUCUUUUUUUUUUUUUUUUUUUUUUUUUUUAAACCACAAUGAGAGUCUAAUAACUAAUAGUCUAGCAAACAAUUACUUAUAAUUUGCCUUAUUAUUAUACAAUAUUAAGAUUUACUUCUGCAGGGAUGAAAAACUUUUUUUAAAAUACAAUAGACAUGUAUAAUAAUAAAGUACAUUCACACCUGACUCACUCAUAAUUUACAUGUGAAAAGUUUAUAUCAGAUUGUUUCUAUUUAAUGAUUUGAUUGCCAUCAGUGUCUUGUAUCUCUUUUGUGGAUGGCUGCCUGGUCGUGCGGUUUGCACGCUGGACUGUCGUUCAGAUUUAUCGAUGGUCCCGGGUUCAAACCCUGCCCGCUCCCAUCCCCCGUCGUCCUACAGGAGGUUUGGACUAGGAAGUAAUUAUCUUCAACUCUGAAGGAACAUCCGAAACAUGUAAAACAUUUUUACAACAUUUGUGAUGGUAAAGUCACAAAAUGUAGGAAACCCCACUGUGUUUGGUCCAGUAUGUGGGUUAUUAUAUGUAAGUCUAUUGUAUUUUCUAUAUUAUUUUACAAAUGUAAAAAAAAUAAAAAGAAAUUGUUACACUGUU